AAAUGGCACCCAUGAAAAAAAAAGAAUUACCUAAUUACAUAACAGAGAAGUACGUAGCAUUUACCCAUUCCAAAGUUUAAAAUUAUCAAGUGGACUAUUUAUAUUUUGGCUCCAGUUUUCUUAAAGACAAACAUCUAGGAGUACUUUUAAAAAUAUACAUGGAGUUAUUUCCUAUUACAUAUUUUUUUUAUUCUCUCUCUCUCUCUCUUCUCACUAUGAUCGAUUUGCUUUCUCUUUUAUAGAAUAGAAAAGUCCAGCGUACAUGUAGUAGCUAGGGUCGAAUACAUGAAAAGAAAUAAAAGCCAGUGACCAGGGCGCUAGCUCAACUCUUUGCCUAUCCUUUAAUCCCAGCCAUGUGUUCCUUCUUCCUUGUGUGCAGCAAGAUCCAGCCGCUUUUUUUAUUUCAACAAGUGAGCGGACUAGAAAACAACGUAUAAUGCUCUCCUUUUUGUAGCUGAACAUACACAUCAGGCGAAGUCGGCCUGCAACAAUGGCCAUUUUUCAUCAGAGGAUAAACACAAAAACAGAUGUCAUGAAAUCAUGUUCUUUCCGCAUACAAAGGAGUAAACAUCAGUUAUUCAAAAAUCAAAAUAACACAAGUACGAAGCAAGUGAUCACACAUUUUGCACAUGCAACAAAGUGUAGAUGUUCAGUUAUUUAGCUCCAUCUGCAUCAUGCAACGCUCCUUUCCGUCAGUUAACUUAGUAUCCAUCAAGUGUUGUUUUUGUUUGUCAUUUAACUCUUGUGUUCUUGGGCGUCAGUGCACACAACACACAGAAGGCCAGUAGCGGCAUGCUCGGGUAAGCCGGCGGCAGCGCGCAGGGGAUUCAGAGCUGAGGUGCAUGGCGAGUGUCGGUGUGCUAGCGCUCCAGGCGUGCGGCGGCUAGCUGCAGGGUACAGGUGCGUGGCGACUUAGGUGAAUGGCCUGCAGUGGCGUCGGUGAACGGCCGAACACUAUACCAGCAGAUUCCCACCGGGAAUAGGCGAAAUGGUGGCAGGGGAGCCUCGCUGAUGGAUUUGCCCAGAGGAGGUCCUGCUUGCGCCAAACGGGAGACGGCACCAGCGGCGCAUGGGGUGUGGAGACGUAACCGUUGAUUUCUCGUAGCUCGGCAACGUCGUGCGAUAGCAGCACAUGAGGAGCCAGGGGCAAGGGAAGGUGAUGAGGCGGAGGAUCCAGGGGAGCUCGCCGGAGGUAGAGAAGUAGAAGAGAAAGGCAUAGGGCGGGAGGAGGCUCACCGGAGGGAAGGGGUACGGGCUUGACCGGAUCCGCGUCAGCAGUAAGCGGGGGACUGCGUGGGCAGGCGACCGAGGACUGCACGCCAGUUUGAUGGUGUUCGGUGAUCCCCGGCGACGGCGGUUAGGGCGCAGACCCGCGCGCAGCCAUGGCGGAAGUUCGGCGGCAGAAUCUCGGUGGCACGCAAAGAAGGUGGGCGGCGCACAGGGAACCGAGACUAGUAGGUCGGGGGCCUGCGGUGUGCUGGGUAGGUCGGGCGGCGGCGCGCUAGGAUGGCCGGGCGGCGGUAGAUCGGGGAUGUGG
rnacentral:lncRNA from 1 species